CUGAUUCUGGCCUGGUUAAAGUGUAACAUGCUUAUCUCAAUGUUCUUAUGUUUCUUUCUUAACCAGACCAUGAUUUCUCUCUUACAUUAGCAGCUGUUAAAAGAGUGGGGAGUCAGAGAGGAAAUGGGAGCCAUAAUUAGAAAGGAAGACCAAAGCUGCAUGGAGGGUAACAUACCUUUGGGAAUUGCUGGCUGUAUUGUAAUAUGAGGGAGUAAUGUU
rnacentral:lncRNA from 1 species